rnacentral:rRNA from 1 species
AUGCCAGCGGCAACGGCGCCAACCCGACUGUGGCCUGCUGCAGCCGUGUCAGCAGUGUGGCCAGCGCAGCACGGAGCAGCGCUGACGAGCAAGUGGCGUGCAACUGCAUCAAGAGCGCUCCCGGUGGGCUCAACGCUGGCAACGCCGUCGACAUUCCCUCCAAGCGUGUGGCGUCAACAUCCCCUACGCCAUCAACUCUUCCGUCGACUGCUCUAA